rnacentral:rRNA from 1 species
CCCGCUGAACUUAAGCAUAUCAAUAAGCGGAGGAAAAGAAACCAACAGGGAUUGCCCUAGUAACGGCGAGUGAAGCGGCAACAGCUCAAAUUUGAAAUCUGGCGUAAGCCCGAGUUGUAAUUUGUAGAGGAUGCUUCUGGGUAGCGGCCGGUCUAAGUUCCUUGGAACAGGACGUCAUAGAGGGUGAGAAUCCCGUAUGUGACUGGCUUGCACCCUCCACGUAGCUCCUUCGACGAGUCGAGUUGUUUGGGAAUGCAGCUCUAAAUGGGAGGUAAAUUUCUUCUAAAGCUAAAUACCGGCCAGAGACCGAUAGCGCACAAGUAGAGUGAUCGAAAGAUGAAAAGCACUUUGGAAAGAGAGUUAAAAAGCACGUGAAAUUGUUGAAAGGGAAGCGCCCGCAACCAGACUUUGCGGCGGUGUUCGGCUGGUCUUCUGACCGGUUUACUCGCCGCCGUGAGGCCAUCAUCGUCUGGGACCGCUGGAUAAGACCUGAGGAAUGUAGCUCCCUUCGGGGUGUGUUAUAGCCUCUGGUGAUGCAGCGCGUCUCGGGCGAGGUCCGCGCUUCGGCAAGGAUGAUGGCGUAAUGGUUGUCGGCGGCCCGUCUUGAAACACGGACCAAGGAGUCUAACAUCUAUGCGAGUGUUCGGGUGUCAAACCCCUACGCGUAAUGAAAGUGAACGGAGGUGGGAACUUUUUGUGCACCAUCGACCGAUCCUGAUGUCCUCGGAUGGAUUUGAGUAAGAGCAUAGCUGUUGGGACCCGAAAGAUGGUGAACUAUGCCUGAAUAGGGUGAAGCCAGAGGAAACUCUGGUGGAGGCUCGCAGCGGUUCUGACGUGCAAAUCGAUCGUCAAAUUUGGGUAUAGGGGCGAAAGACUAAUCGAACCAUCUAGUAGCUGGUUCCU